rnacentral:lncRNA from 1 species
CCAAAAGGGAAGUGGCAGCCUUGUUCUUUCCCCGCUCUGAAGGUGGGAGGAGGAUCACCAGGGCAUCUGAGGCAUGCCGCUAGUCUGCUGGCUCAUGUUGUGGGCCUGCAGAAGCAGCCAGAUGAUCCACUCCUUCAGCUCUCAGACCCAGGCAGCACAUGUUUAGGUCCUUGAGCCAAAGGGGCCAGACUUGGAGACAACACAAGGCAGAAGAUGGCUCCAGUCUGUCCUCACUUCCCUGCUCUGCAUCUGCCUUGCCACCCUGACCCGCUGCCCUGCAGAAUUCAGACUCCAACACCAGAUAAAUCAGCUCAGCACAGAAGAGAUGAGCGUGUGUACUACUUUCCAAAAGAGGAAGUGGAUUCAGAAAACUACUUAUUUUGAUGGGUCUGACAAUCGUUGGCUCCACCUGGACCCACUAACCACUCCUGUGGCCCCACCAGAAUGACUGAGUGCAUAGGAGGACCAUUUCCCACACCCCUGUGAUUGCACCCCCAAACAAUCAGAGCAAGCACCCAUUGCCUAGCCAUCCCCACCCCUUAGCCCAAACUACCUUUGAAAAAUCCU